AGGGUGCAGGGCGGAUGCCUUGGCACUAGGAGCCGAUGAAGGACGUGAUAAGCUGCGAUAAGCUUCGGGGAGUUGCACGUAAACUUUGAUCCGAAGAUUUCCGAAUGAGGAAACUCACUUAGAGUAAUGUCUAAGUAUCAUUAAGUGAAUACAUAGCUUAAUGAGGGGAACUCAGGGAACUGAAACAUCUAAGUACCUGAAGGAAGAGAAAGAAAUUCGAUUCCGUAAGUAGCGGCGAGCGAACGCGGAUUAGCCCAAACCAAUGAAGUUUUCUUUAUUGGGGUUGCGGACAUAUCAUAACGAAGAGGUAUCGUAAUUGAAGAGGUUUGGAAAGACCCACCACAGAAGGUAAUAGUCCUGUAUGUUAAACGAGAAGACUUCAGAUAUGAUCCAGAGUACCACGGGACACGUGAAACCCUGUGGGAAGCAGGAGGGACCACCCUCCAAGGCUAAAUACUACCUAGUGACCGAUAGCGUAUAGUACCGUGAGGGAAAGGUGAAAAGAACCCCGGGAGGGGAGUGAAAUAGAACCUGAAACCCUGCACUUACAAGCUGUGGAAGCACAUUUCUUGUGUGACCGCGUACUUUUUGUAGAACGGGCCAACGAGUUACGUUAAGUAGCAAGGUUAAGCACUUAAGGUGCGGAGCCGUAGCGAAAGCGAGUUUUAACUGAGCGUUCAGUUACUUGACGUAGACCCGAAACCGGGCGACCUACCCAUGAGCAGGAUGAAGCGAAAGUAAAAUUUCGUGGAGGUCCGAACCCACGAGCGUUGAAAAGCUCGGGGAUGACUUGUGGGUAGCGGUGAAAUUCCAAUCGAGCCCGGAGAUAGCUGGUUCUCCCCGAAAUAGCUUUAGGGCUAGCCUCAAGGUGAGAGAUACGGAGGUAGAGCACUGAAUGUCCUAGGGGGUAUUGCACCUACCGAAGACUAUCAAACUCCGAAUGCCGUCAUCUUAUACUUGGGAGUCAGACUGUGGGUGAUAAGAUUCAUAGUCGAAAGGGCAACAGCCCAGAUCGUCAGCUAAGGUCCCUAAAUGUAAGUUAAGUGGUAAAGGAUGUGGGAUUGCACAGACAACCAGGAUGUUGGCUUAGAAGCAGCCACUCAUUCAAAGAGUGCGUAAUAGCUCACUGGUCGAGUGAUCCUGCGCCGAAGAUUUCCGGGGCUAAAACUUACUACCGAAGCUACGGCAUCAGUAAUGAUGGGUAGGGGAGCUUCCCAUACGGGUUGAAGCAUGACCGUAAGGACAUGUGGACAGUAUGGGAGUGAGAAUGUUGGCAUGAGUAGCGAGAUGUGGGUGAGAAUCCCACAGGCCGUAAACCCAAGGUUUCCAGGGGAAGGUUCGUCCGCCCUGGGUUAGUCGGGACCUAAGCUGAGGCCGAAAGGCGUAGGUGAUGGACAACAGGUUGAUAUUCCUGUACUACCGAUAACCGUUUGAGAGAAGGGAUGACACAGUAGGAUAAGCUAAGCACACUGUUGGUUAUGUGUGCCCAAGCAUUGAGGCAGUCAAAGUAGGCAAAUCCGCUUUGAUAAUGCUGGGAUGUGAUGGGGAGCGAAAUUUAGUAGCGAAGUAGCUGAUUUCACACUGUCAAGAAAAGUCUCUAUCGAGGUUAAAGGUACCCGUACCGCAAACCGACACAGGUGGGUGAGGAGAGUAUCCUAAGGCCAGCGAGAGAACUGUUGUUAAGGAACUCGGCAAAAUGACCCCGUAACUUAGGGAUAAGGGGUGCCACCAUCAGGUGGCCGCAGAGAAUAGGCCCAAGCGACUGUUUACCAAAAACAUAGGUUUCUGCUAAGUCGCAAGACGAUGUAUAGGAGCUGACGCCUGCCCGGUGCUGGAAGGUUAAGGGGAUCUGUUAGAGCAAUCGAAGCAGUGAACUUAAGCCCCAGUAAACGGCGGCCGUAACUAUAACGGUCCUAAGGUAGCGAAAUUCCUUGUCGGGUAAGUUCCGACCCGCACGAAAGGCGUAACGAUUUGGGCACUGUCUCAACAACAGACUCGGUGAAAUUGUAAUUCCGGUGAAGAUGCCGGAUACCUGCGACAGGACGGAAAGACCCCAUGGAGCUUUACUGUAGCUUGACAUUGGGUCUUGGUACUACAUGUACAGGAUAGGUGGGAGGCUUUGAAACCAGGACGCCAGUUUUGGCGGAGCCAUCCUUGGGAUACCACCCUUGUAGUACUGGGACUCUAACCAUAGGCCAUGAAUCUGGUCUUGGGACACUGUCA
rnacentral:rRNA from 1 species